AUUGAACGCUGGCGGCAGGCCUAACACAUGCAAGUCGAGCGAGCGGCGGACGGGUGGGUAAUGUAUGGGGACUGCCCGUUAGAGGGGGAUAACUACUGGAAUCGGUAGCUAAUACCGCAUACUAUCGGAUAACCCAUAUGGGAUUAGCUAGUAGGUGAGGUAAUGGCUCACCUAGGCGACGAUCCCUAGCUGGUUUGAGAGGACGACAAGCCACACGGGGACUGAGACACGGCCCAGACUCCAACGGAGGCAGCAGUGGGGAAUGUUGGACAAGGGGGGAAACCCUGAUCCGGCCAUCCCGCGUGUAUGAUGAAGGCCUUCGGGUUGUAAAGUACUUUUGGCAGAGAAGCGGUAUCUGCAGAAUAAGCACCGGCUAACUACGUGCCAGCAGCCGCGGUAAUUC
rnacentral:rRNA from 1 species